rnacentral:rRNA from 1 species
CCUACGGGAGGCAGCAGUGGGGAAUAUUGGGCAAUGGAGGCAACUCUGACCCAGCAACGCCGCGUGAAUGAUGAAGGUCUUCGGAUUGUAAAGUCCUGUGAUUGGGGAUGCACACACUGACGGUACCCCAAUAGCAAGCCACGGCUAACUACGUGCCAGCAGCCGCGGUAAUACGUAGGUGGCAAGCGUUAUCCGGAUUGACUGGGUGUAAAGGGUGCGUAGGUGGGUUAGUAAGUUGGCGGUGUAAUUCCGGGGCUCAACCUCGGCGCUACCGCCAAAACUAUUAGCCUAGAGUGCAGGAGGGGUAAGUGGAAUUCGUGGUGUAGCGGUGGAAUGCGUAGAUAUUAGGAAGAACACCGGGGGCGAAGGCGACUUACUGGACUGUAACUGACGCUGAGGCACGAAAGCGUGGGGAGCAAACAGGAUUAGAUACCCUGGUAGUC